rnacentral:rRNA from 1 species
CGGAAAGGCCCUUCGGGGUGCUCGAGUGGCGAACGGGUGAGUAACACGUGGGUGAUCUGCCCUGCACUUUGGGAUAAGCCUGGGAAACUGGGUCUAAUACCGAAUACACCUCUUCAGCUGCAUGGUUGUUGGGGGAAAGCUUUUGCGGUGUGGGAUGGGCCCGCGGCCUAUCAGCUUGUUGGUGGGGUGAUGGCCUACCAAGGCGACGACGGGUAGCCGGCCUGAGAGGGUGUCCGGCCACACUGGGACUGAGAUACGGCCCAGACUCCUACGGGAGGCAGCAGUGGGGAAUAUUGCACAAUGGGCGCAAGCCUGAUGCAGCGACGCCGCGUGGGGGAUGACGGCCUUCGGGUUGUAAACCUCUUUCAGCACAGACGAAGCGCAAGUGACGGUAUGUGCAGAAGAAGCACCGGCCAACUACGUGCCAGCAGCCGCGGUAAUACGUAGGGUGCGAGCGUUGUCCGGAAUUACUGGGCGUAAAGAGCUCGUAGGUGGUUUGUCGCGUUGUUCGUGAAAACUCACAGCUUAACUGUGGGCGUGCGGGCGAUACGGGCAGACUGGAGUACUGCAGGGGAGACUGGAAUUCCUGGUGUAGCGGUGGAAUGCGCAGAUAUCAGGAGGAACACCGGUGGCGAAGGCGGGUCUCUGGGCAGUAACUGACGCUGAGGAGCGAAAGCGUGGGGAGCGAACAGGAUUAGAUACCCUGGUAGUCCACGCCGUAAACGGUGGGUACUAGGUGUGGGUUUCCUUCCUUGGGAUCCGUGCCGUAGCUAACGCAUUAAGUACCCCGCCUGGGGAGUAC